UUAAAGUAGAAGUUGACGGGGCCGCACGAGCGGUGGAGCAUGUGUUUAAUUCGAAGCAACGCGAAGAACCUUACCAGGUCUUGACAUCCCUGACAACCCGGGAGAUCGGGCGUUCCCCUUCGGGGGACAGGGUGACAGGUGGUGCAUGGGUUGUCGUCAGCUCGUGUCGUGAGAUGUUGGGUUAAGUCCCGCAACGAGCGCAACCCUCGACCUUAGUUGCCAGCAUUCAGUUGGGCACUCUAAGGUGACUGCCGGCUAAAAGUCGGAGGAAGGUGGGAUGACGUCAAGUCCUCAUGGCCUUUAUGCCUAGGGCUACACACGUGCUACAAUGGGUGGUACAAAGAGCAGCUAACUCGCGAGAGUAUGCAAAUCUCAAAAAGCCAUCCUCAGUUCGGAUUGGAGUCUGCAACUCGACUCCAUGAAGUUGGAAUCGCUAGUAAUCGCGGAUCAGCAUGCCGCGGUGAAUACGUUCCCGGGCCUU
rnacentral:rRNA from 1 species